UGGGUUGCUAACUCAAUGGUAGAGUACUUGGCUUUUAACCAAUUAGUUUCGGGUUCGAGUCCCGAGUAACCCAU
rnacentral:tRNA from 1 species